rnacentral:rRNA from 1 species
UACAGGGGGGGCAAGCGUUGUUCGGAAUUACUGGGCGUAAAGGGUUUGUAGGUGGCUUGUUAAGUCAGACGUGAAAUCCCCAGGCUCAACCUGGGAACUGCGUCUGAUACUGGAUGGCUUGAAUCCGGGAGAGGGAUGCAGAAUUCCAGGUGUAGCGGUGAAAUGCGUAGAUAUCUGGAGGAAUACCGGUGGCGAAGGCGGCAUCCUGGACCGGCAUUGACGCUGAGGAGCGAAAGCCAGGGGAGCAAACGGG